CUGGUUCCAGAAUUAUUGUCCGCAAGACUUCUGAGUGUAGGUUGCCUUUGAUUCGGCUUGCAGACAUCCCUGUAAAUUUGCCAUCAGAAGACAGUGGUAUUGUUAAAGUUGCGAUUAAGCAAAGGCCACAGAAGCGGCUGCAAACUGUCAACAAUUCAAAUUCAAAUUCCAUGAAGACAAAUAGUUCCAAAAGUGUGGAGGAAAGAAAAGAGGAGUACAACAGGGCACGUGCACGAAUAUUUAAUUCUAGUGGUUUUAGCAGUAGUGCUAGUGGGAAGCCAGAAGGUGAACAAAGAGUGCAAGAUGGUUCCCAGCAUGGUGUGUUGGGUAUAUUGAAGACAGAAGAAAAACCUGUUUCGGGGAGUUCAGAUAUAAAUUCUGGUAGAGGUUCUAUUGAAUCUUCUACAAGUAGCAGUAAUAGAUCAGCUAGAACUAGGACAGAGAAGGAGCCAGUUAGUAGGUACAAACCAAACAAUAGGGUGGCCAUCUUUCGAGACCGUGAGAUAGGAAAGAUCCAGACUAUGACAGGAGCUAUGAUAGGUAUAUGCAAAGGUUUGAUCCUGGAUUUGGUUUCAAUGGAGGACCUUACACCAUGCAGCCAAUGUACACCCCUGCAUUGAACUACAACACUGAAUUUCCACAACUUGGUUCCAGCCAUAGGCCACAAAUAUCCCCAGAACAUGCAGAACAUCAACCUCGACCUCUCCCUCAACAUUUACCUGGGCCGUGGGCUGCCCCGUCAACUACUCCUGGAAUUGGAUAUGGCCCUCCAGAAACAAUGAAGAACGAGCACCAACAUGAUUUGGAUUGAAUGGUGUCAUCAUUGUUUCUGGAG
rnacentral:misc_RNA from 1 species